rnacentral:rRNA from 1 species
UAGGGAAUCUUCCACAAUGGACGCAAGUCUGAUGGAGCAACGCCGCGUGAGUGAAGAAGGUUUUCGGACCGUAAAGCUCUGUUGUUGGUGAAGAAGGAUAGAGGUAGUAACUGGCCUUUAUUUGACGGUAAUCAACCAGAAAGUCACGGCUAACUACGUGCCAGCAGCCGCGGUAAAUCGUAGGUGGCAAGCGUUGUCCGGAUUUAUUGGGCGUAAAGCGAGCGCAGGCGGAAGAAUAAGUCUGAUGUGAAAGCCCUCGGCUUAACCGAGGAAUUGCAUCGGAAACUGUUUUCUUGAGUGCAGAAGAGGAGAGUAGAACUCCAUGUGUAGCGGUGGAAUGCGUAGAUAUAUGGAAGAAUACCAGUGGCGAAGGCGGCUCUCUGGCCUGCAACUGACGCUGAGGCUCGAAAGCAUGGGUAGCGAACAGGAUUAGAUACCCUGGUAGUCCAUGCCGUAAACGAUGAGUGCUAAGUGUUGGGAGGCUUCCGCCUCUCAGUGCUGCAGCUAACGCAUUAAGCACUCCGCCUGGGGGAGUACGACCGCAAGG